UACGGGGGGGAGCAAGCGUUGUUCGGAUUUACUGGGCGUAAAGGGCGCGUAGGCGGUCGUGACAAGUCACUUGUGAAAUCUCCGGGCUUAACUCGGAACGGUCAAGUGAUACUGUCGGACUAGAGUACAGAAGGGGCAACUGGAAUUCUCGGUGUAGCGGUGAAAUGCGUAGAUAUCGAGAGGAACACCUGCGGCGAAGGCGGGUUGCUGGGCCUGAUACUGACGCUGAGGCGCGAAAGCUAGGGGAGCGAACGGG
rnacentral:rRNA from 1 species